AAUAAGGUUAAGUAUAAGAUUUUCAAAAGCAGAAAGGAGGAAAAUACACCCAUUUGUAUGCUUUUCUGUUAUCCACUUAUCAUAUAUAUCCGCAAAGCAGAAAGAAGUGCCAUUUCUCUCCAAAGUGAAAGAAUGGAACAUUCUCCAGAAGAAGAGUGAAUUAUUCUCUCCCGCCUGGUCUCUUUGCUGUGCCCUCUGCUGUUAAAUCCACUUCCAUGCUCUCAGUGAUCUUCCAUAAAACCAUGAGCACGUCAAAUUCUGAGAUAUUCUUCUCAUCUGUUUGUGGAAAAUGCUAACGCAGACCCUCAAGAAGUUCACAACCAGAAUUAACUCUGUACAUCAAGAGCGUCUUCUUCUACCAAGGACAGUUCCAGGGUGUUUUCAUUC